UUGGCUACUUUCAUGGGAAACAUUUGAAACAGAUGCUGGUGGUGGAGAGUAGUUCGAUGGACUGUGUUCAGGCUGGUGGUGGACAUGAGUCACAUGGGGUGGCUGUUGGUACUGAUAUGACGGUGGUUGGUGUGGUGGGGGUGGUGGAAAUCCAGGUUGCUGAAAGUAAGAUGGUGGGGGUGGACCAUCAAAGCCAGGUUGGUGCAAGUAUGAUGAUGGAGGUGGCGGAGGAUAGGGUCCAUCAAAGCCAGGUGGCUGCUGGUAGCUUGGUGGUGGAGGGUACGGCGGAGUAAAUUCAUGGUGGUGAAGAUGUGGUGGUGGGGGUCUUUCUUGGUUUUCCUCAUCAUCAUUUCUGUGGUGAUGAGUGUGAGAGUGAUUGUGACCGAAUGGGAACUCCAUU
rnacentral:lncRNA from 1 species